UACAGAGGGGGCCAGCGUUAUUCGGAAUUAUUGGGCGUAAAGGGCGCGUAGGCGGCUUUGCGUGUCUUUCGUGAAAUCCCUCGGCUCAACUGAGGACGUGCGGAAGAAACUGCAGGGCUGGAGUCCGGGAGAGGAGGUGGAAUUCCCAGUGUAGCGUGAAAUGCGUAGAUAUUGGGAGGAACACCGGUGGCGAAGGCGGCCCUCUGGACCGGUACUGACGCUGAUGCGCGAAGACG
rnacentral:rRNA from 1 species